rnacentral:rRNA from 1 species
CAGUCGCCGCGGGAAUACAGAGGGUGCGAGCGUUAAUCGGAUUUACUGGGCGUAAAGCGUGCGUAGGCGGCUUCUUAAGUCGGAUGUGAAAUCCCUGAGCUUAACUUAGGAAUUGCAUUCGAUACUGGGAAGCUAGAGUAUGGGAGAGGAUGGUAGAAUUCCAGGUGUAGCGGUGAAAUGCGUAGAGAUCUGGAGGAAUACCGAUGGCGAAGGCAGCCAUCUGGCCUAAUACUGACGCUGAGGUACAAAAGCAUGGGGAGCAAACAGGAUUAGAGACCCCCGUAGUCCCUGUCUCUUAUAA